rnacentral:misc_RNA from 1 species
UAAUAAGUGUUUAUGGCACUUCUUGAAUCCAUAUCCACCUUGUGUGCAAUGUCAGCCGUUUUCUUUAUGAAAGCGGCCAAACAUCAACUUAUUUUUUAACUGUCUGUCUGAAAACUAUUAUGAAUAAACAAUUCAAAUA